rnacentral:rRNA from 1 species
UGAGGAAUAUUGGUCAAUGGGCGCAAGCCUGAACCAGCCAUGCCGCGUGAAGGAAUAAGGUCCUAUGGAUCGUAAACUUCUUUUGAGCGGGAGCAAUAAGGUCUACGUGUAGACCGAUGAGAGUACCGUUCGAAUAAGCAUCGGCUAACUCCGUGCCAGCAGCCGCGGUAAUACGGAGGAUGCAAGCGUUAUCCGGAUUUAUUGGGUUUAAAGGGUGCGUAGGCCGUUGUGCAAGUCAGAGGUGAAAUUGUGGGGCUCAACUCCGCCGCUGCCUUUGAAACUGCAUGACUUGAAUCCUGUUGCCGUGGGAGGAAUGAGUAGUGUAGCGGUGAAAUGCAUAGAUAUUACUCAGAACCCCAAUUGCGAAGGCAUCUCACGAAGCAGGUAUUGACGCUGAGGCACGAAAGCGUGGGUAUCAAACA